rnacentral:rRNA from 1 species
AUGAUGAUCAUGAGCUGGAACCGUCGAGGCCUUGGGCAACCUCGAACAGUUCAAGAACUAGUGUGUCUAGUGCACACGUACAAGCCCAAGCUCGUCUUCUUGACUGAAACUCGACAGAACAAUAAUUUUGUCUCGAACCAGAAGUGGAGGCUGGGCCUUCGCCAUUGUAUCACGCAACCCGGCAUUGGAAAGGUGUCGGCACUGCUCUCUUUUAUGAUGAGUCUGUGGAAAUAA